AAUUCGGAAGCAGGAAAGAGGGACGGUGUGGAUUUUACAACCAGAAUAAAGCUGGGAAAUGCCCCCAUGAAUGGAGCCAAAGAAAGACUGGAGUUUGGGCUUUGGUGUGUAUUUGAAGUUUCAAAGUCAACUUUUAACAACAGUGCCUCCAAGUGAUCUUCAGGAGCUAAAACACUCUCACACAGAAAAGAAAGGAAGUCUCCAAAACGAAUGUGAAAUUGACAAAUCACCACCCUGCUUCAGGACCCCAGUCCAUGGAAUGCUGUGAUCAACAUUCAAAGUGGCUCAUCCUACAUCAAUUACCCCAAUCUAGGAAAUCCCACCAAGCCAGGACCGAAGAGUUCAGUUCUCAGCAUCUACGUAAGG